AUUGAACGCUGGCGGAAUGCUUUACACAUGCAAGUCGAACGGCAGCACGGACUUCGGUCUGGUGGCGAGUGGCGAACGGGUGAGUAAUGUAUCGGAACGUUCCCAGUCGUGGGGGAUAACGUAGUGAAAAUUACGCUAAUACCGCAUACGAUCUAUGGAUGAAAGCGGGGGAUCGCAAGACCUCGCGCGAUUGGAGCGGCCGAUAUCAGAUUAGGUAGUUGGUGGGGUAAAGGCCCACCAAGCCAACGAUCUGUAGCUGGUCUGAGAGGACGACCAGCCACACUGGAACUGAGACACGGUCCAGACUCCUACGGGAGGCAGCAGUGGGGAAUUUUGGACAAUGGGCGAAAGCCUGAUCCAGCCAUUCCGCGUGCAGGAUGAGGGCCCUCGGGUUGUAAACUGCUUUUGUACAGAACGAAAAGGUUUCUACUAAUACUAGGAGCUCAUGACGGUACUGUAAGAAUAAGCACCGGCUAACUACGUGCCAGCAGCCGCAGUAA
rnacentral:rRNA from 1 species